rnacentral:lncRNA from 1 species
UUUUUUAACUUAUUGAUAUAUUUUUAAAAGGAAAGGUUAAAAAGUUGCAUUCAUCUAAGAAGACUUCUUAGCUUCCAUUGUUUCUUCCCCAAAAAUAUGAAUCUUAUGUUUCAUUUCCUCUGAGCGUUCCAUCGUUCGUCUUCUUCUUCUAGAUUGUGUUUGAGUUUCAGCAUUCGCCUUCUUCUUCUCCCAUAUUAUGUUUAUUCUUUUCGAAAACCCAUUAAUC